rnacentral:misc_RNA from 1 species
AAGUCGUAACAAGGUUUCCGUAGGUGAACCUGCGGAAGGAUCAUUACAGAGUUCUUGCCCUUACGGGUAGAUCUCCCACCCUUGAAUACAUACCUUUGUUGCUUUGGCGGGCCGCGCUUGCGCUACUGGCUUCGGCUAGUACGUGCCCGCCAGAGAACCACAACUCUUGUUUUUAGUGAUGUCUGAGUACUAUAUAAUAGUUAAAACUUUCAACAACGGAUCUCUUGGUUCUG